rnacentral:rRNA from 1 species
CCUACGGGUGGCAGCAGUCGAGAAUCAUUCACAAUGGGGGAAACCCUGAUGGUGCGACGCCGCGUGGGGGAAUGAAGGUCUUCGGAUUGUAAACCUCUUUUGUCGGGGAGCAAAAGACGCAACGCGUGGCGUUCCGAGAGUACCCGAAGAAAAAGCAUCGGCUAACUCCGUGCCAGCAGCCGCGGUAAUACGGAGGAUGCGAGCGUUAUCCGGAUUUAUUGGGUGUAAAGGGUGCGCAGGCGGAAGAUCAAGGCAGCGGUAAAAUUGAGAGGCUCAACCUCAUCGAGCCGUUGAAACUGGUUUUCUUGAGUGAGCGAGAAGUAUGCGGAAUGCGUGGUGUAGCGGUGGAAUGCAUAAGUAUCAUGCAGAACUCCGAGUGCGAAAGCAGCAUACCGGCGCUCAACUGACGCUCAUGCACGAAAGUGUGGGUAUCGAACAGGAUUAGAUACCCGAGUAGUC